rnacentral:rRNA from 1 species
UACAGAGGGUGCGAGCGUUAAUCGGAAUUACUGGGCGUAAAGGGCUCGUAGGCGGCCAACUAAGUCGGAUGUGAAAUCCCCAGGCUCAACUUGGGAACUGCAUCCGAUACUGGAUGGCUUGAAUCCGGGAGAGGGAUGCAGAAUUCCAGGUGUAGCGGUGAAAUGCGUAGAUAUCUGGAGGAAUACCGGUGGCGAAGGCGGCAUCCUGGACCGGCAUUGACGCUGAUGAGCGAAAGCUAGGGGAGCAAACGGG